rnacentral:rRNA from 1 species
UACGGGGGGGGCAAGCGUUGUUCGGAAUUACUGGGCGGAAAGGGCUCGUAGGUGGCCAACUAAGUCAGACGUGAAAUCCCUCGGCUUAACCGGGGAACUGCGUCUGAUACUGGAUGGCUUGAGUUCGGGAGAGGGAUGCGGAAUUCCAGGUGUAGCGGUGAAAUGCGUAGAUAUCUGGAGGAACACCGGUGGCGAAGGCGGCAUCCUGGACCGACACUGACACUGAGGAGCGAGAGCCAGGGGAGCAAACGGG